GAGUUUGAUCAUGGCCUCAGAUUGAACGCUGGCGGCAGGCCUAACACAUGCAAGUCGAGCGGAUGACGGGAGCUUGCUCCUUGAUUCAGCGGCGGACGGGUGAGUAAUGCCUAGGAACUCUGCCUGGUAUGGGGGACAACGUUUCGAAAGGAACGCUAAUACCGGCAUACGUCCUACGGGAGAAAGCAGGGGACCUUCGGGCCUUGCGCUAUCAGAUGAGCCUAGGUCGGAUUAGCUAGUUGGUGGGUAAUGGCUCACCAAAGGCGACGAUCCGUAACUGGUCUGAGAGGAUGAUCAGUCACACUGG
rnacentral:rRNA from 1 species